rnacentral:rRNA from 1 species
UCCUACGGGGCGCAGCAGUGAGGAAUAUUGGUCAAUGGGCGCGAGCCUGAACCAGCCAAGUCGCGUGAGGGAAGACGGUCCUAUGGAUUGUAAACCUCUUUUGUCGGGGAGCAAAAGACGCCACGCGUGGCGUUCCGAGAGUACCCGAAGAAAAAGCAUCGGCUAACUCCGUGCCAGCAGCCGCGGUAAUACGGAGGAUGCGAGCGUUAUCCGGAUUUAUUGGGUUUAAAGGGUGCGCAGGCGGAAGAUCAAGUCAGCGGUAAAAGCCCGGGGCUCAACCCCGGCGAGCCGUUGAAACUGGCUGG